rnacentral:rRNA from 1 species
AGUGAACGCUGGCGGUAGGCCUAACACAUGCAAGUCGAACGGCAGCACAGUAAGAGCUUGCUCUUACGGGUGGCGAGUGGCGGACGGGUGAGGAAUACAUCGGACUCUACUUUUUCGUGGGGGAUAACGUAGGGACACUUACGCUAAUACCGCAUACGACCUACGGCUGAAAGCAGGGGAUCUUCGGACCUUGCGCGAUUGAAUGAGCCGAUGUCGGAUUAGCUAGUUGGCGGGGUAAAGGCCCACCAAGGCGACGAUCCGUAGCUGGUCUGAGAGGAUGAUCAGCCACACUGGAACUGAGACACGGUCCAGACUCCUACGGGAGGCAGCAGUGGGGAAUAUUGGACAAUGGGCGCAAGCCUGAUCCAGCCAUACCGCGUGGGUGAAGAAGGCCUUCGGGUUGUAAAGCCCUUUUGUUGGGAAAGAAAAGCAGCAGGUUAAUACCCCGCUGUUCUGACGGUACCCAAAGAAUAAGCACCGGCUAACUUCGUG